UAUCCUUCUUUACGGAGGAAUCCAGAUUUUUGGACAAUUUAACUAAAUUUUCUAUAAUUUGUUGCAGAAGUUUAGCAAAGCACACUCUCAAGGCUUUAACACUUGGAUCAUGCUCGGAUAACUCUUCAUAUAAAAAUUGUUAAACAAGAAUCUCAGCUGUACGCAUGACCUUACUAUUCACUCCUGAAAUGGAAAGAAUGAGGAUCAUCAGAAGAUUGGUGCACAUUCAUGGAGGAAACUUAUGAAAAACAUGCCAACCUAUCUUCUAAGAAAGACCUUGCUUUAGGUUUCUUCCUCAAUCAAGUUCAAGUGUGAACCAC